GCAAGUGUAGCUCAGUAGGUAGAGUCCCAGGCUUCCACCCUGGUUGCGCGAGUUCGAUCCUCGUCACUUGCUCCA
rnacentral:tRNA from 1 species